AAGAGAAUCCACGCGUAUUACUUUUCCCUAAAAGAAUGAUGGGUCACCAUUAUUUUUCCACAAUCAGCUCCCAACCACCGACCUUCUCUCUUUCUCUCCCCCUCACACCUCGUCUGCCGCCACCCAAACUGGAAUGCCAUAGCUGCCGUCUGGCACCCCCCUAUGCAAGAAUCUCCUUUUUUUCGUCAUGACAAGCUCAUUAACCAAAAAGUCAAAAAAUAAUAGACCCCAAAAGGUGUUAGUAUCGAUCUUUGAUGUUGAAUCUACAAUUAAUGGCUUUGAAGGAGAUUGAUAAUUCAAACUUUGAAUCUUUUUCUUCCCGUUUUUAUAUUAAGGUUUCAAUUCGGACUUUUAAGUCCGGAUAGGCAGCUAUAAAUUGUAAUCUCCCCAUUCUAUAGCGGACGGAGGAAAAGGAACGAAUAAUAAAGAGAUAAAAAGAAAAGAGUGACGAAGGGUUGGGGAAGAAAAUAGAGGGACAGAAACGGAGGACUUGAAAGUGAAAAAAUUGAAGACGAAAAAGGAAGAUGAGUGAAAGGGGAGUUUUGGGGGAAGAAGUAACAAUCAAAAAAAAGAAAAAUUUACAAAACUACAAGUUUCUAUUUUGUUGUUCUUUGCCUAAAGUCAAGUUCUUCGAUUUCGGGUUUUGGGUCCCAAAAACUUGAUGUUGGAGCCCUUGUUUGCUGCCCAACACAAGUGACAUACACAUGGCUGAAAAUACUACAACUGAUGAGGCAGUGAUUCUAGCCGAUGAAAGCAUUAAUUCAAAUAUUUCACGUCAAAAACAUAAACAUUCUAUCCAGACGAAGGUGAUGUGGCUGUUGUUUCAUGGAAAUUUGAGCAAGAACAAUGUAGGAGAGCUUUAUGUCGCAUGGUGAUUGUGGAUGAACUCCCUUUCAGGUUUGUUGACAAGGAAGGUUUUAGAAACUUUAUGAAAGUAGUGCAACCUCAUUUUAAGAUUCCUUCUUGUACCACUGUGACACGUGAAUGUUUUAAAAUGUUUGAUAAAGAGAAACAAAAAUUGAAAAGGUCCUUUAGAGAAGCCCAACAAAGAGUCUGUCUUACCACUGAUACUUGGACCUCUUUGCAGAGAAUUAAUUAUAUGUGCAACACUGUACAUUGGAUCGACAGUAAAUGGAUUAUGCACAAGAGGAUAAUUAACUUUUGUCCAAUUACUAGCCAUAGAGGUAAAGACAUGGCUAAUGAGAUUAGUAAGUGUUUACGUGAUUGGGACAUAGAUAAAAUUAUUACCAUCACAGUCGAUAAUUCUAGUUUGAAUGAUGUGACUGUGAAAGAGUUAGGUAAGAUAUUCACUAAAUGGGGAACCAUUUCAUGAAUGGAGAACACCUUCAUGUAAGGUGUAUGGCUCACAUUAUUAAUCUUAUAGUCCAAGAUGGUUUGAAAGUAACUGGAGUGUCCAUUGAAAUGGUUAGAAAAGCAGUGAAAUACAUAAGGCAGUCCCCUGCAAGGUGUAAAAGGUUCCAAGAAUGUUGUGAAGAUCUUGAUAUCAAUAGUAAAAAAUCUUUAUGUUUGGAUGUUUCUAUGAGGUGUAACUCCACAUACUUGAUAUUGAAUAGGGCGAUUGAGUGUGAACAUGGAUUUUUGAGUUAUGUUGAUCGUGAUAUUGGCUUAUCACAAUACCUUCAGUUUGUUGAGGAUGAAGAGAGAACAGUUGCCGAUGCACUUUCGAGUGAUGACUAGGACCAUGUAAAGAAAAUUACCAAUUUUUUUCAAUUUUUUUAUGAUCUAACCAAAUAAGUAUCUGGAUACUCUAUGUCACAUCAAAUUUACACUUUCUUAAAAUUUGUGAGGUUUCUUGUUAUUUGAAGCAGUUGAUAUCGAGUGAUGAUGAU